rnacentral:rRNA from 1 species
ACCUUCGGGUCCCCUGAGAGCGGCGAACGGGUGAGUAACACGUGGGCAACCUGCCUCGAGGACUGGGAUAACUCCGGGAAACCGGGGCUGAUACCGGGCGAUGUCGUCUCGUAUAAGCGAGCCGACCAAAUGGUAGCUUCGGCCUCCGCCUUGAGAUGGGCCCGCGUCCUAUCAGCUUGUUGGUGAGGUAAUGGCUCACCAAGGCUACGACGGGUAGCUGGUCUGAGAGGAUGAUCAGCCACACUGGGACUGAGAUACGGCCCAGACUCCUACGGGAGGCAGCAGUGGGGAAUCUUGCGCAAUGGGCGAAAGCCUGACGCAGCAACGCCGCGUGAGCGAAGAAGGCCUUCGGGUUGUAAAGCUCUGUCAGGGGGAAAGAAGACACCUGGGUUAAUAGCCCAAGGGUUGACGGUACCCCCAAAGGAAGCCACGGCUAACUACGUGCCAGCAGCCGCGGUAAUACGUAGGUGGCGAGCGUUGUCCGGAAUCAUUGGGCGUAAAGAGCGCGUAGGUGGCUUGUUAGGUCUGAUGUGAAACCUUGAGGCUCAACCCCAAGCCUGCAUCAGAAACCGGCUUGCUAGAGUCUGGGAGAGGAGAGUGGAAUUCCUGGUGUAGCGGUGAAAUGCGUAGAUAUCAGGAGGAACACCGGUAGCGAAGGCGGCUCUCUGGAACAGUACUGACGCUGAGGCGCGAAAGCUAGGGGAGCGAACAGGAUUAGAUACCCUGGUAGUCCUAGCCGUAAACGAUGGACACUAGGUGUCCGGGGGUGUCGACUCCCUCGGUGCCGAAGCUAACGCAUUAAGUGUCCCGCCUGGGGGAGUACGGCCGCAAGGCUAAAACUCAAAGGGAAUUGACGGGGGCCCGCACAAGCAGUGGAACCAGGUGGUUUAAUUCGACGC